GUCCUCUCGACAGCACGUGAGAGCUCUCAAUACUCAAUUUGCCAGUUGGGUGCAAGCACAACUGAAGAAUCAUCCAGAUGAAAUUUGGGAAGAUGGGGUUCGAGACUACCUUGCUCAUGCUUCAAACAUUAUGGAGAAGUUCAGUGAUGUUGUGAACUGGCUCAAAGCAAAUGCUGUAAAAGGAGGAACUGCCGCGGUACUGAAAAGAAACUUGUGCCUGAAGUAAAGAACAAUGAGAGUAAGUUAUUCCAGGGCAAAAUUGGAUUUGUUUCACCGAGUACAAAUACAAGCUUUACUGUGUCAUGGAGCUCUGGCGUAUUCUCCAAUAAUCAGAGUUCUGGAGGAGUAUUCUCUAAUAGCCAAAGCUCUGGUAUGUUCAACAGUACCUCAAACUCUGGUUUAUUCACCAACAGUCAAAGCACUGGAUUAUUCUUCAAGAGCCAGAGUUCUGGAUUAUUCUCCAACAGUCAGAGCUCAUCACUUUCCUCUGCCAAUCAAAGCAGUGGAUUGUUCUCCAACAGUCCGAGCUUUGGGGAUUCUUUCAGUAAUCGAAGCUCUGGAUUGUUCUCCAACAGUCAGAGCUCUGGACUUUCUUCUGGUAAUCAAAGUUCUGGAUUUUUUUCCAGCAACCAAAGCGCAGGAGUGUUU
rnacentral:misc_RNA from 1 species